ACUACGGGAGGCUGCAGUGAGGAAUAUUGGUCAAUGGACGCAAGUCUGAACCAGCCAUGCCGCGUGCAGGAUGACGGCCCUAUGAGUUGUAAACUGCUUUUGUACGAGGGUAAACGCAGAUACGCGUACCUGUCUGAAAGUAUCGUACGAAUAAGGAUCGGCUAACUCCGUGCCAGCAGCCGCGGUAAUACGGAGGAUCCAAGCGUUAUCCGGAUUUAUUGGGUUUAAAGGGUGCGUAGUCGGUCGGUUAAGUUAGUGGUGAAAGCAUGAGGCUCAACUUCGGAAUUGCCAUUGAUACUGGUCGGCUAGAGAAUAGUUGCGGUAGGCGGAAUGUGUGGUGUAGCGGGGAAAUGCUUAGAGAUCAUACAGAACACCGAUUGCGAAGGCAGCUUACCAAGCUACUUCUGACGUUGAGGCACGAAAGCGUGGGUAGCAAACAGGAUUAGAUACCCGGGUAGUC
rnacentral:rRNA from 1 species